rnacentral:lncRNA from 1 species
GCUCUGAGUAGGUCCAUUCCAAAAACCUUUACUAUAUCUUUAUUAGCUUGUGAAUAAAAGUAUUAAUAUUGAAAUCCUCUUAAUCAAUAUCAGGAGCAUCAUUUUUUUUUUCAGAUGAGGAAAUUGAGUGUCAGGAAGUUUAAGUGACUUCUCAGUGGUGACACAAUUAAGAAUUUUCUAGAUCAAAUUUUUAGGCUGACAAGACUGACUUAAUGAUUUCUCUGUACCAAAGUAGAGAAAUGAUAAAGAGAAUGGAGUUUGGAAAUACCUGCCUCAUAAAGACUCAGCUUCAAUGAUCUGAGUAAUGAAGAAUAAAGUCCUCAUUAAAUUUUCAGAUCAUAUCCAGCUGGGGGCAAAUGGUAGCUAGCAGCUGGGAAAAUAGAACUAACAUUCCAAAUUAUAUAAUAUGGGAGAAAUGGUCUAAGCCAAGCAGAAUAAAAUUCAGAUAUGGCCUAUACAAUAAAGGAAGAAUCUGGGACACUAUAUUGGGAACAAACAGAAAUUAAACCAAUCUGGGCUCAUUUCCCAGAAAAGCAAUCACACACAAUACACAUAACUGAGAGAAAAGGAGAGGAAAAAAAAGAAAGAAAAUGUCUGAAAAAAGGACAGUUGAAGAGGGUAAAAAGGACUAAAAACCUAUUUCUUUAUAAAGAGAGAGACAAUUAUGAUUGCCUACGUGUUGCUGGCUCAGUUUGAGACUUUAUCUAAAGACUUCAGGUAAGACAUCUUUAAAUAUCACAUUUAAUGAGACGAAAGUCCAAAGUGGAAAGCAAAGAUUUCAUUUUGGUGACAGAAGUGUUUGCAAUCAAACCUUACUUUAGGAACUAAAGCAUAUUUUUCACACAAUUCCUUGUGGUGACAAAAUAUGAACAAGAGAAUAAACAAGUAGCUUGCAUCA